rnacentral:rRNA from 1 species
UACGAAGGGGGGCUAGCGUUGCUCGGAAUCACUGGGCGUAAAGCGCACGUAGGCGGCUUCUUAAGUCAGGGGUGAAAUCCUGGAGCUCAUCUCCAGAACUGCCCUUGAUACUGAGGAGCUCGAGUCCGGAAGAGGUGAGUGGAACUGCGAGUGUAGAGGUGAAAUUCGUAGAUAUUCGCAAGAACACCAGUGGCGAAGGCGGCUCACUGGUCCGGUACUGACGCUGAGGCUCGAAAGCGUGGGGAGCAAACAGGG